AAUAUUUGACAAUGGGCGAAAGCCUGAUCCCGCCAUGCCGCGUGUAUGAAGAAGGUCUUCGGGUUGUAAAGCACUUUAAGCCGGGAGGAAGAGCAGUUGGUUAAUACCCUGCUGUUCUGACGUUACCGGCAGCAUCAGCACCGGCUAACUUCGUGCCACCAGCCGCGGUAAUACGAAGGGGGCCAGCGGUAAUCGGAAUUACUGGGGGUAAAGCGCGCGUAGGUGGGUUGUUAAGUUGGAAGUGAAAGCCCCGGGCUCAACCCGGGAACUGCCUUUAAAACUGGCAAGCUAGAGUAUGGCAGAGGGGGGUGGAAUUUCCUGUGUAGCGGUGAAAUGCGUAGAUAUAGGAAAGAACACCAGUGGCGAAGGCGACCCCCUGGGCUAAUACUGACACUGAGGUGCGAAAGCGUGGGGAGCAAACAGG
rnacentral:rRNA from 1 species